AGAGGGAACACGGCUUGCCCAAGGAUACACAGCGAGUCAGGAUGCAACUCAAACCAGAGCCACAGAACAGUGGCCCCGGGCCAGAAGACACUUCUUAACUUUCUGCUGAGCAGCAAAAAGGGCCUUCAGAUGCUCUUGCUCUGCUUGGCUUCCAGAGAUGCAGGAACAAGAAGAGCAGCCAUCCCAGCUCACCCAGCCUGGAUUCAGGUGCCAGAGGACAGUACCCUAAGCCUACAACAGUCACUGCUAACCUUGUACAACUAUCACCAGAAACAGGGGAGGAGAGCAACGAAUACCUGUGGCUUGGGCUCCAAAGUCUAGAAGAGGAGCCAAGGAAACUGAGAUGGACAGAGGGUCAGGCUGCCAGGCCACCAGGCAGUGCCAGGCACACGGCUGGCGGCACCUAGUCAACUGGAGAAGCUGCUGGAGAGCAGGCGGAGGCUGCCCGGGGCCCUCCGGCGGGGCUGCGCGGUGGCGCGCGGGCAGGGAGCCCGGGACUCUCCGCGGCGCCCGCUCGCCCAGCUCGGGGCCUCGGGGCUGCGCGCCGCGGGGCUCCGGGAAGAACCUGCCAUUCCCCGGCCGGGCGGCCCGACGUGAGACGGGGUGGGGGUGGGGGCGGGGUGGGGGCGCCUCCUUCCUGAGUGAAACCUACGGAAUCCGGCAGGAAUUCGGGCCUCCCAGAUUUAAGAAAACAAACAAAGGAAAGAUUGUCAGAGAGGGGCCGCCAAGAGCCGCCGGGCCGCCGCGCUGCCCUCCGAGCUCACCCCGGGGGCGCCCGGGCCUCCCGGCGGGGGCGGAACCCGAGGCCGGACGGGGGCGGGUGGGGCGCUCCCCCGGGUGGUCCCCGGUGGGCUUCCCUGCCCCGGGUCUCGGCGAAGCGGCCGACCCCCUGUCUCGGGCGCCAGGCAAGGAGAGCGCGGGAGCGGCUGCCCGGUGGAGGGGGCCCUCCGGGGGUCCUCGGGGCGCACCGCGCGCUGCCGGGCCAGCCCCUCCGCAGCGCCCCACCCCGCACGCGCCCGCAGCCGGUCCCGAGGCCAGGCCUCAGGUUCCUCGGGGCGGCCGCCCCGCUCGGUUCCUCGCGGCCAAGACCAGGUCACCGCGCGGGUGGGCCCAGCCAGGGAAGAUUCUAAGAAGAAUGAUUAAAAGUGCGAAUGUGAGAAGGAGGUUCGGUAAAAGCGGGAGGGGUGGACACCUGCACGGCGGCGGCAGCCGGCGGCCACCGCGCUGGGGCGCAGGGGCCGGCCCAGCCCUCCCCGACUUCCCUCCCGUUCGCGGCUCCGCUCCCGAAGUCAGCGCCCCCUGCCUCGGUUUCCCUGUGCUCCCCGCUCCCGCGCCCGCGGCUGGCGGCCUCCGGCUACGUCGGGAGGCGCCUGCCCCUUUGCAGAACGUCUGUCCCCUCCGCCUGCCCUGCUUGGGGGCGCCCGGCUCGGGGUCUCCCCGCGGAUCGCCCCUGCUCGCGGGCCCGGCGCCCCUCCGCACCCCCCGCCCCCGCCCUAGGUGGUUGGGCGNNNNNNNNNNNNNNNNNNNNNNNNNNNNNNNNNNNNNNNNNNNNNNNNNNNCUGGGCCCUGCCGCGCUGCCGGAGCCUCGCGCCCGCGGCCCAAUUAGCGCGCGGCGCGAGGGCCGCGGCAUCUGGAAUUGCGCUGCGCUCACGGCCAAGGCCGAUUGUUUAGUCUGCGCGGCGGGCCGGGCGGGCCGCGCGGUGGCCCCACAUCUGGAGCCGCGGCCAGACGGCCCUGCUGGCGGCUGGCCGGGGUGCGUGUGCAUUUUUAACUCUGGGAUUUGCUGACAAGUUAAGAAGUCAGAAAGUCAGCGGCGGCGGGGACUGGCGAGGCGCGCGAGCCAGGGAGGGGCCGGCCGAGGCCCAGGCGCACCCGCCGCCAAGGAGACACGCUCCCGGGGCUCCCGGGGCUCCCGGGGCUCCCGGGGCGCGCGCAGCCGCUUGGCACUUUGGCCCAGCGUGGCUCCCCCCAACCCCAACCCUUGCCCCCACCCGCAGCUGCCGCGUGUUGACUGUUCUUCCGGAUUGCUUCCCUCCCCCGCCUCUAUCCUCUCCCACUUCUCCUUCCUCUUCACUAAUUAAGUGGCCAAAUUAUCCCGAAAUCCCACACUCCCCAGCUGGCCGGAGCUCCUUGGAGGCUAGCCUCUGACGGGGAGGCCUGGGAAUCUCAGGGCUCCCACGCUUUGGAGGGAGGGCAGAGAGGCCCAGAGAGGGCCAGCGACUUGGCCGAGGUGGUGGAGCAGCUAAGUGGUGGAGCCAGGACCCGAGGCCAACUCUCUCGACCCCUAAUAUGGCUCUUGGCACAGUUCCGGGUCCCUCUUGGGGCUGGUCCGGGCUGAUGAGUAGUCUCACAUCAUCUGAGUUUCUUCCCAUCCUUAGAAAUGUGCUUUUGCACUUCCACUCGUUCAUUCAACAAUAUCUGUGGCUCACAGCCUGCGAGGCUUGGGGAAUAUCGCUGUAAACCAGACCGGCAUGUUCUUAUUCUACAGAACUUCCAUUUGAGGGGGGAAGCCAGAAAUGUCGGGGAGACAGGGACUUCACAGUGAACAAGCAAGUCCAUGUGUGUCUCCACUUUGCAGAUGGACAGUCUGAGGCCCAGAAAGGCUAUUCGAUUUGUCCCAGGCCACACACGGUCACACGUGGUAGAACUGAGGUGCAGAUUCAGGCUUGACCCCAAAGAAAGCCAGGGCUCUUCCCCAGCAAGAGGCUGCAGGAGAAUUUUGUAGUCAUCCAGAGCUGGGUGACUGGCAUCCGGGUGCUAUACCAUUUCCUUCCACCAGCAAAACAAGUCUUCACCAGGCCUCUGCUAUAAUGAUCGUCACUAGCAUUUGUGCACACCUUUCAUUUUCCUAAACCAUUUUCCACUUACUUAGUCACUUUAAAUCUUCACCACAACUUAGAGAUGUAAAGCGUUAUUAUCGUUGCCACGUCUGGAAACCGAGGCCCACCAGCGUGCGCAAGAUUCUCAGUAACAAGAACCUUCCUUUUUUCUUCCAGUUUUGGUCUGUUUUUCUCUUGUUCUGUUUUCCAUGGAAACAGACCUCGGCACCCACCCUCAUCCCCAGGGAAUGGUGACUACAUUAUGCCUCUGAGAUGUCUCCCCAGGAGCUUGAGGGUUGACUAUACUGUGCUGUGAGUUCUCACACAGCCUCCUGGGAAGCUGGGCCUGCUUUUCUGGAUGUAUGAGUCUACCCCAGCUGCACAGCCAUUCGAGGCUAGGGACUUCAGGUUUCAUCUGGUUCUAAAUGUGUCACCCAGCAGUCACAUCCCCUCUCUUGAGAUGGGAGAUGUGGGGUAGAGCACAUCUUCUUUUCUCAAGUCACAGACUCAUUUCAAAAUUGGCUGGAAGCUCCAGAUCACCAACGUCAAGUGGUUCAUGAGCAUGCAUGUACUCACACACUCAAUUUUUGAGGAGAUUUAGGGACUUCGAAAAUGUGUCCAUGUGCAUCCUAGGGAUUCCAAGACCCCUGCAUUAAGAAUCUCUGUAUUAAUGGUUUCUAUAUUUGCCAGCCACGGGCAACCCGCAUUACAGACCUAGAAAUAAACCACACAGCACCCCUGUGGGAUUUCCUUGG
ensembl:lncRNA